UAUAAGAAAGCUCGCUCUGGAUCAAAACUAGCCAAAAAAAGGGAAGAAAAGGGACGUGGAGGACGAAUGAGGAGUGACGGAGCUCUCGAAGUUUGCGCUCGAGAAUCGGAAGGAGUGGCCGAGUGGGGCGAGAAUAUGGGCGACAUACCCCUCUGGGACACGAUUUAAUCAACAUCUCUUUGAAUCCGGAAAAUUCGCCUACCUUUUCCCUCUCCACUUCCUGCUCUUCCGCCUCCUCUUUUAUAAAACGCCGAUCUGCUGCUCUACUUCCUCCGCCUGUCUUCUCAGCCAUGGUGCUCGAAGGUCAUCACCAUAUCAAGGUUGGGCUCUGCAUUCCAUCGAACAACUCGUGCGCGCCGGCGGCGGCAGCGAUCAAAUCCUCAAAGAAGAGCAGGCUCAAUAAGACCCCGCAAAGCGGCCUCGGGGUCGCGCAAUUAGAGCGUCUCCGCUAUCUCGAAGAGCAGGACAAGAACGGCGGCGACGCGUCUUCCUCCUUGGACCCCUCGCAGCCUUUCGGACUCUCACCGCCGCCCGCUCGCCAAGCCACGAGCCUCUUCUGCUUUCUUCGCUAUACCUCCGGUUCGCAACCUCCUAACCUUCGCGCCGCCGCGGCCUGUAACCGAUGCCGCCGCCAUCAAUGAGCAGCAACGGCCGCACCAACUGCAACCCGCCAGGGUUUUCCUCGACGCUUUGGGAUGCUGUCGAUCUUAACGAUGAUCCUUCAGAAGCAAUACCCGAUCGAUAAGCUUGGCCUGCAUGAAGCAGCAACAGAGGCCACCAACUGAACUGGUGAAUUCUUCGACAUUUCUCAUGUCACCUGGAGUGAAUCAUCCCAUGAAACCCCCUUCAAACCAAAAUACCUCUAACAAUUACGACUUGCUUUCUUGUUGGAGAGAUCAGGGAAAGAAUUUAGUAGAAAUAGUUGGCAACAGGCUGUCUCGCCCUUCUCAUCUCGACAAUCCCACGGCUUAUUACCCUCAAAAUCCUUUGCUCUCCAGAGAUGAUUACUGGCCACCAAUUCCGCACACUUCACGAAAAAGAGGAACCACUUCAACUUCCUUCAUGGACAUAAGGAGUUCGGAUAGUUAUAGUGAGAAAAGGAACAUAAAAGGUUGCAGGGGUAAUAAUGGUGUUUGUUUUAGCUUAGGUUUGGUCUCCACAUCGAAUUCGCGAUCUAUUGGCAACCCUGCGUAUUGUCAGUAUGAUUGUCCUAAUUUCGGCUUGCAACAUAAUCAGAAAAGCUCGGACAAUGUCUCUUCAUCUAAUGGAGUACUGUUCUAUAAUUUCCUGUCUCCUGGUCCAACUAGAAAUGAGAAAAGACCAUCUGUGAUGAGAGAACCACUAGUUGGUGGAAUUGAUCUCGACCGGAAACUUUAGGAGAUUUUUGUGCUUUGGAUGGAUUCUUCAUACAAAUAAUUAUUCCAUGGUCAUCUUUUGUUAUUUAUUGUAUCAAGACAAAGUGGCACAUAACAACCACAUAAGACAUCAGAAGCUCUAUCUCUUCAGAAAUGGAUGAAAAAGGCCAUGCGAAUGAAGAACUCCCAUGGCUCAACUUAAAAUGGAGCGAGUUGCUCACUUAAGUACCAGAAACCUUUUGUUUCAGCUCUUUGAGUAUUUUCUUCUCUGUUGAAUUGUGGCGUGAUAAGAUAUUGAUCUGGCGAAUGUGUAAGCUGGUAUUUGAUGAGACGCCAAGAGUGGUAGAAACCAAAUUGUGAUUUCUUCACUAUCAAGCCCUAUUUGUUUACAUAGGGAGACUUGAAUCACUAAAGGAGUUUCAGCACAGUGGACAGACAGCGACAAGCACCCAAAAUUUCAGCUACACCUUGUUGAUGGGUCAAGAACAAUCCAUCAUUCGCUUGGUUCAAAUUAAUCGUAUGGACAACCAUAUAAAACAGAAACGGUGUAUCAAACGUUCAGAUCUCUACUUCAAUAUUUGUCGUUUGUUCAGUGUCUUUCCUGACGGAUUAAAUUUAUCCCAUGUGGUUGUAAUUCUUCUUUCUUUAGUAAAACCCACAGAGUGUUCCAGUUAUGAUGCAAGUGAGAAUGAAAGACGCUGAACUUUCUCAAUGGGAACAUCUAAUGUGUUUGCAUCUCUUCCUGGUGAAAUUACCAAAGUUCUGAUUGUGUUA